AGCGAACGCUGGCGGCAGGCCUAACACAUGCAAGUCGAGCGGCCGUAGCGAUACGGCAGCGGCAGACGGGAGAGUAACACGUGGGAACGCGCCCUUCGGUUCGGGAUAACUCAGGGAAACUUGGGCUAAUACCGGAUACGCCCUUACGGGGAAAGAUUUAUUGCCGAAGGAACGGCCCGCGUCCGAUUAGCUUGUUGGUGAGGUAACGGCUCACCAAGGCGACGAUCGGUAGCUGGUCUGAGAGGACGACCAGCCUCACUGGGACUGAGACACGGCCCAGACUCCUACGGGAGGCAGCAGUGGGGAAUAUUGGACAAUGGGCGCAAGCCUGAUCCAGCCAUGCCGCGUGGGUGAUGAAGGCCCUAGGGUUGUAAAGCCCUUUCAGCGGGGAAGAUAAUGACGGUACCCGCAGAAGAAGCCCCGGCUAACUUCGUGCCAGCAGCCGCAGUAAAAC
rnacentral:rRNA from 1 species